rnacentral:rRNA from 1 species
UACGGAGGGAGCUAGCGUUGUUCGGAAUUACUGGGCGUAAAGCGCGCGUAGGCGGCUUUGUAAGUUAGAGGUGAAAGCCCGGGGCUCAACUCCGGAACUGCCUUUAAGACUGCAUCGCUUGAAUCCGAGAGAGGUGAGUGGAAUUCCCAGUGUAGAGGUGAAAUUCGUAGAUAUUGGGAAGAACACCGGUGGCGAAGGCGGCUCACUGGCUCAUUACUGACGCUCAGGCGCGACAGCGUGGGGAUCAAACAGG